rnacentral:rRNA from 1 species
GAUGAACGCUGGCGGCGUGCCUAAUACAUGCAAGUCGAGCGAACAGACGAGGAGCUUGCUCCUCUGACGUUAGCGGCUGACGGGUGAGUAACACGUGGAUAACCUACCUAUAAGACUGGGAUAACUUCGGGAAACCGGAGCUACUACCGGAUAAUAUAUUGAACCGCAUGGUUCAAUAGUGAAAGACGGUUUUGCUGUCACUUAUAGAUGGAUCCGCGCCGCAUUAGCUAGUUGGUAAGGUAACGGCUUACCAAGGCAACGAUGCGUAGCCGACCUGAGAGGGUGAUCGGCCACACUGGAACUGAGACACGGUCCAGACUCCUACGGGAGGCAGCAGUAGGGAAUAUUGCGCAAUGGGCGAAAGCCUGACGGAGCAACGCCGCGUGAGUGAUGAAGGUCUUCGGAUCGUAAAACUCUGUUAUUAGGGAAGAACAAAUGUGUAAGUAACUAUGCACGUCUUGACGGUACCUAAUCAGAAAGCCACGGCUAACUACGUG